GCGUGAUGACAAAGCUACCCAACCUCAGAACGAAAGCGGCUGGAAGUUCUGGAAGAUUGUUGCAUGAGCAGGAUCGGCGAGGUGUGCCUUGAGAUUUGCGACUGGUCCGGUACCCGUGACAUCGUGUUGAAUGAAGCAGCCCAUAGCAGCAACCAUGGCAAGCCUUCCGUUGGCGAUCUCCUUCGUGCGCAAGGUCUUCUCCUCCUCAGCACUUUUUGCCAUUCCCAUGGGGUUGAAAAGACCACCGCCUGGGUAACCGACAUCAGUCCCGGUACAUUUUCGGCUCUCGUCAUAUGGAUCGGCAUGCACAGAGCCAGGGUUCUUCAUAUCUUGCCAGCGGCGCACUUCUGCCCAAUUCAUCAAAAACAUUUGCACAACAAACAAGGUGUUAGCGUCAGCUAUGUAACCAUCAUAAAACGGUGCAUCCGCCCAGUUGGGAAGUGGACCGUCCACUAAGGGAUUGCCGAAUAUUUCCGGAGCAGCCA
rnacentral:lncRNA from 1 species